GCGUGCAGGAUGAGGCUUCGGGUUGUAACUGCUUUUGUACGGGACGAAACGGUCUGGGCUAAUACCCCGGGCUAAUGACGGUACCGUAAGAAUAAGCACCGGCUAACUACGUGCCAGCAGCCGCGGUUAAUACGUAGGGUGCAAGCGUUAAUCGGAAUUACUGGGCGUAAAGCGUGCGCAGGCGGUUUUGUAAGACAGUYGUGAAAUCCCCGGGCUCAACCUGGGAAUUGCGAUUGUGACUGCAAAGCUUGAGUGCGGCAGAGGGGGAUGGAAUUCCGCGUGUAGCAGUGAAAUGCGUAGAUAUGCGGAGGAACACCGAUGGCGAAGGCAAUCCCCUGGGCCUGCACUGACGCUCAUGCACGAAAGCGUGGGGAGCAAACAGGAUUAGAUACCCUGGUAGUCCACGCCCUAAACGAUGUCAACUGGUUGUUGGGUCUCUWCUGACUCAGUAACGAACGUAACGCGCGUCAA
rnacentral:rRNA from 1 species